UACGGGGGGAGCAAGCGUUGUUCGGAUUUACUGGGCGUAAAGGGCGCGUAGGCGGUCAGUGCAAGUCAGUUGUGAAAUCUCCGGGCUUAACUCGGAAAGGUCAACUGAUACUGCUCGACUAGAGUGCGGAAGGGGCAACUGGAAUUCUUGGUGUAGCGGUGAAAUGCGUAGAUAUCAAGAGGAACACCUGCGGCGAAGGCGGGUUGCUGGGCCGACACUGACGCUGAGGCACGAAAGCGUGGGGAGCAAACAGG
rnacentral:rRNA from 1 species